AUGGCGAUGAAUGGAGCGAGACCGGAGGGGCUUCCUCCCUCGCAGGGUGGGAAGUAUGUUGGAUUUGGAUCUAGUCCAAAUCCUUCUCAGAAGAUGUCUAAUCAAAGUGAUUAUUUAUCUGUUGUUUCUGAGGGAAUUGGUAAAUUAUCGAUGGUUGCUCAGUCUGCAACCAAGGAGAUCACUGCCAAGGGAUCAAACUCGGGUACUCGGGAUCAGUUUGUCCUUAACCCAAACUCACAACUAAUUGGCAUAUGA